rnacentral:rRNA from 1 species
GACGAACCGUGCAACCGUUGUUCGGAAUCACUGGGCUUAAAGGGCGCGUAGGCGGUCGACCAAGUCCGGGGUGAAAUCUUUCGGCUUAACCGGAAAAGUGCCUUGGAUACUGGUCGGCUGGAGGGAGGUAGGGGCAGGUGGAACUUCCAGUGGAGCGGUGAAAUGCGUUGAUAUUGGAAGGAACGCCGGUGGCGAAAGCGACCUGCUGGACCUUUUCUGACGCUGAGGCGCGAAAGCUAGGGGAGCAAACGGG